GACUAUAAAAAAACUUGUCUGUAAAACAAGGUUCAGCCUAGCUAAUAGUCG
rnacentral:tRNA from 1 species